AACGAACGCUGGCGGCAUGUCUAACACAUGCAAGUCGAACGAGAUCUUCGGGUCUAGUGGCGCACGGGUGCGUAACGCGUGGGAAUCUGCCCUUUGGUUCGGAAUAACAGUUGGAAACGACUGCUAAUACCGGAUGAUGACGGAAGUCCAAAGAUUUAUCGCCAGAGGAUGAGCCCGCGUAGGAUUAGCUAGUUGGUGUGGUAAAGGCGCACCAAGGCGACGAACCUUAGCUGGUCUGAGAGGAUGAUCAGCCACACUGGGACUGAGACACGGCCCGGACUACUACGGGAGGCAGCAGUGGGGAAUAUUGGACAAUGGGCGAAAGCCUGAUCCAGCAAUGCCGCGUGAGUGAUGAAGGCCUUAGGGUUGUAAAGCUCUUUUACCCGGGAUGAUAAUGACAGUACCGGGAGAAUAAGCUCCGGCUAACUCCGUGCCAGCCGCCGCGGUAA
rnacentral:rRNA from 1 species